rnacentral:rRNA from 1 species
GACGGAGGAUGCAAGCGUUAUGCGGAAUGAUUGGGCGUAAAGCGUUCUCAGGUGGCUGUUCAAGUCUGCUGUCAAAGACCGGGGCUUAACCCUAGAAAGGCAGUGGAAACUGGACGGCUGGAGUGCAGUAUGGGUAGAGGGAAUUCCCAGUGUAGCGGUGAAAUGCGUAGAGAUUGGGAAGAACACCGGUGGCGAAAGCGCUCUGCUGGACUGCAACUGACACUGAGGUACGAAAGCUAGGGGAGCGAAAGGG